AGGGUUUGAUUAUGGCUCAGGAUGAACGCUGGCGGCGUGCUUAACACAUGCAAGUCGAACGGGAAACCUUUUAUUGAAGCUUCGGCAGAUUUAGAUUGUUUCUAGUGGCGGACGGGUGAGUAACGCGUGGGUAACCUGCCUUAUACAGGGGGAUAACAGUCAGAAAUGACUGCUAAUACCGCAUAAGCGCACAGAGCUGCAUGGCUCGGUGUGAAAAACUCCGGUGGUAUAAGAUGGACCCGCGUUGGAUUAGCUAGUUGGUGAGGUAACGGCCCACCAAGGCGACGAUCCAUAGCCGGCCUGAGAGGGUGAACGGCCACAUUGGGACUGAGACACGGCCCAG
rnacentral:rRNA from 1 species